CUGUUUGGCGGUCUAACCUAUGUUACAAUAUUGUAAACUCCAAUCUCAUGUUUAGGGUUGGAGUUAGUAAUCACAUACAUUUGUUUGUUUGUACAUACACGAGAUCGUAUCUCACUUUUGUAAACACUCUGUUUGGUAUGAGGUAGCCAAACUGUAGAUACACACAUAAAUGCACAAAUUUAUCCUCAUUAAUAUUUCAUAAUUCCCAGAUUGUCCUCAUUCCUCCAUUUUUGGGGCUGAACUAAAAUUUUCGCACUAACCCUAACAUGUGUGAAGAAGGUUGAUGAGAUGAUGAACUCCUCUUCCACGACAUCUUUUCCUCAGCAAAACACUUGAUGAGAUGAUGGACCUUGUCUCUAUUCCGCUGCUCUUGCAUUAGAUAAUUGACCUGCGUCUGAGCUCUCUCAAGCUCUGCGUGCAGCGCUGACACCACCGACAUAUGUGAAGAAGGCUGGUCUGCCUGAUGAGCCCAAAUGCAGCUGAUGAUUUCAGCUACUCUUUCGACAUGGUCAGAGUGUUAUUUACAUUCUAAGGCGACUCCUACCUCCACUGACCGAUUCACUCGAAGUCGGGGCCUCGACCAGACUCUCAAUCUGCAAGCCAUGUUCAUACUCAGGCAGUUGAUGUAUAGGAUAAUAUUGAAUUUCACCUCUCUGCACAACAUAUUUGAUGGGGAAAAAAGAAGAGUACCUCCAUAUCAAAUUGAGCAUAUUUUUACCUCCGUGAAAUCGAUGGUGUCUUCUUCUCACUAGCUAUGCUGUCAUCAUGACCUGAAGAUGUUUCUCGAAGACUUUGAUUGAUUUGAUAGGUAGGCAAACCGGAACCACGAAUCCAUCAUUGUAGCCUAAGUACCAUGCCACUUGAAUAUUACCGGCCGCCCAAUAAAUUCCUUUAGACACCCCACCGUACGCGGCAGGGCCCCACCCAACGUCCAUUUGCUUGAAACCCACGUGCAUCAAAUUCGACACCAUAUAAGUGUUAGCAGCCGUCGAAUUAGGCCGAUAUGGAUCAUAAAGGUAAGUUCUCUUCGUCUUCCCCAAUCGCUUCCGCUAUGGAUCAUAAAGGUAAGUUUUCGAUCCAUUAUGUUUAUGGUUAAUACGUGAAAUACAUGAUGUUCGAAGAUCUUGCUUUAUUUAUAUUCAAUUAUGUAUUAUUGAAUAUAUGAUGAUAAAUAAUUUCCAACAUGUGGUAUCAGAGCAUGGUUGAGAACUCAUGUAUUUUCGUAUUAUUGAAAACCAUAUUGUUUGAAUGUAUUUUUUUUUGAUAAAUUACUGUUAAUUGAAUCGACUGUUUUUAAAAUAUGUUUCAAGCAUAUUAUGACUUCAAAUUUGAUGAAUUGUGUAUUACGUAUUUGUGAAUUCAAUAUAUGCAUAUGACUAGUUGAACCUUUAUGUUUUGAUUCGGAUGUUUUCAUGGAAAACUGUUUCUGCCUGAAUAUUUAUUUUAUUCACAUGAUUUGAUUAUGUAUUGCCUGAAUAUCUCACGGCGUGGCAGUGAGAUAUUUGAAUUGGUAAAUUUAGUUUAUUCGCAUAAUAUAUUUGUGAAUUGUAUUGGUUUAAUUACUUUAUCUUUAUGAAUUGAAGGUUGUUUAUUUUGCGUGAUUAUGAAAUUACAUGAAAUAUGCGUAUGCAGUAGUGUAUACUUACAAUUAAAAAUGGCUAUUAAACUGAAUGAUGGUUAUUUGAUGCCAUAGAUUCGAGAGAAUAUGUUAUACAUUAAGUGUAUGUUUUGAAUCUUGUUGUGCACGGCAUCAUAGGUUUUGGAUAUUUUUUUUAAUUGAUGAAUUGUCAAUUCAUAUUUGUAUGCUCACUACCGAGAAUUAAUGGUUUCCAUGUUUGAAAUAUUUGUUCCCAAAUUGAUUCUAUUUAUCUAUAUGGAAUUGAUUUGGGUAUAUUGAUUGUGUAUACUGUAUGUAAAUUAUGUUUGAAUGUGUGUAUGGAUGAAUUGAGAUUUCAAUUAAAUGUUUCAUGAUUAUGAAUCUAUCGAGACGGUGGAAUAAAUGAUUACAUAUAUAAUUCAAUUUAUGUUUUAAUGUAUACAAUCAUGAUUAUAUUAUGUUUAUUUUGCAAUCACCAAAGUGAGGCAAAAUAAGUAAAGUCUAUAAUUAAAUUCAUAUGAAAAUUUGUUUAAGCAAUUAAUCACUAUACAUUUAUGAUUAUAUUAUGUUUAUUUUACCAUCACCAAAGUGAGAUAAAAUAAUAGAAGUUUAUAAUCAAAUUAAGUGAAAAUCUGCUUAAACAAUUAAUCAUUAUACAUUAUUGAUUAUAUAAUGUUUAUUUUACAAUCAUCAAAGUGAGGUAAAAUAAGAAGAGUUUAUAAUCAAGUUAAUAUGAAAAUCUAUGUAUGCAAUUAAUCAUCAUGCUUGUUGUGGCUAUUCAUUAUCUAAAUAGUUUGUUUGUCAUAAAAGGUCUAGAUUCCCAAAGGAAAUAGUCUUUGCGACAUAAUGAACACUAAUGGAGUUAAUAAUUUAAAUUGGUGUCGAUUACCCAAAGGUAAUGCCAAUUUAUUAUUACUCAAUUGUUGAACUAAGAUAUGGAUAUUAAAAGCAUGAUUUUUAUUAUUGUAUGAAGACUACCCAAAGGAGUUUUCAUAAUUGCCUCAUGAUAUGGGUUUUCAAAUUAAUGUUCGUGUUAUUAUUCAAAGCUUUUAUAUGUGAGCAUUCAUCUCUUAAUUGCUCCUAUAAUGUAAAAACAUAUUUUUUUCUACUAGUAUGUUUACCUCAAUCGUUCCCCAACUUAAUGGAACUAACUUCUUUGAGCGUGCAUCUCAUGCUCACAUUGCAACCGAAGGAGCAUCUAAAGGAUAAUAUUCAUUCGAAUUUAUCAUUCUUAUGGCAUAAAGGAACUGGAUCAUAUUUCCAGUGAAAGAAUUAAGAGGCUUAUAAAGGAUAAUAUUCAUUCGAAUUUAGACUUUACAAGCAUUACCGUCUGUGAGGAUUGUAUUAAAUGUAAACAAACCAAACACAAUACUAUGAAUGCCACAAGAAGCAAUGAGCUCCUUAAAAUUAUACAUACAGAUAUUUGCAGACCUUUUGGUAUUCCGACUUUUGGUGGAGAAAAAAUAUUUUAUCACCUUUAUUGACGAUUUUUUCGCGUUAUGGAUUUAUUUAUUGCAAGAAAAAUCUCAGGCACAGUUGAACAUUUUAUGACUGAGGUUGAAAGGCAAUUAAAUAGAAAGGUGAAAAUUAUUCGAUCUGAUAGAGGUGGUGAAUUUUACGGUCGUACCACUAAAAUAAGUCAAUUACAUGAACCUUUUGCCAAAUACUUAGAAAAGCAUGGCAUUUAUGCUUAAUAUACUAUGCCAAGUACGCCUCAGCAGAAUGAUGUUGUUGAGAGACGAAACCGAACUCUCAUGAAAAUGGUUAGAAGUAUGAUAAUUCUACCUUACCCAUAACGUUGUGAAUUUAUGCUCUUAGAACCGCUAUUUAUGUAUUAAACCGGGUUUCUAGUAAGGUUGUACCAAAGACUCCCUUAUGAACUUUGGACAUGUAGAAAACCAAGUUUGCAGCACCUUCAUGUUUGGGGUUGUCCAGCGGAAACUAGAGUAUAAUCUUUGCAAGAAAAGAAAUUGGAUUUUAGACAGUUAGUGGUUAUUUUAUGGGUUACCAGAAAAAAUCCAAAGGGUAUAUAGGUUUUAUUGUCCUAAUGAUAACAUGAGAAUUGUAGAAACUGGAAAUAUAUGAUUCUUUGAGAAUGGUGAGAUCAGUGGGAGUUUUAACACUCAUAAUGCGGUCAUUAGUGAAAUAAGGGUAGAUUUCCCUCUUCCCUCAUUUCCUUAAAAAUUAAGUGUGCCAAAUAUUGUUGAAUAGCCUAACAAUAUUGAACAUUUGAAUGACCAACCACUUAAUGAUGAUGCCAAAGUCAUUGAACAUAGGUGUGGAAGAAGCACCUCCAGAAGUGCCACUAAGGCGUUCUCAACGAGAACGAGGAUCGGCCAUUUCUGAUGACUAUUUGGUUUAUCUCCAAGAAUCUGAAUGUGAUAUAGGAAUACGCAACGAUCCAGUUUCAUAUUCACUAGCCAUUAAAAGUCAUAAUUCUAAUGAAUGGGUUGAUGCCAUGAUAGAAGAGUUGAAAUCUAUGGAUUUUAAUGAAGGCUGAGACCUUGUCGCAUUGCCUGAUGGACACAAGUGCAUUGGGUGUAAAUGGGUCUUCAAGACCAAAUUCGACAUGAACGGUUUAAUCGAAAGAUUUAAAGCCAGACUUGUUGCCAAAGGUUACACUCAGAAAGAUGGUGUUGAUUAUAAAUAGACCUUCUCUCCCGUAUCAAAGAAGGACUCACUUAGAAUUAUUUUGGCACUUGUAGCCCAUUUUGACUUGGAACUGCAUCAAAUGGAUGUGAAAACUGUUUUCUGAAUGGUGAUUUGAAAGAAGAAGUCUACAUGGAACAACAUGAAGGCUUCAUUAAGAAAGGGAAUGAACAUUUAGUCUGCAAACUUAAGAAAUCAAUUUAUGGACUGAAACAAGCUUCUCGACAAUGGUAUUUUAAAUUCCAUGACACUAUUACUGCUUUUGGUUUUAAAGAAAACACCGUUGAUCGGUGUAUAUACCUCAAGGUUAGUGGGAGCAAGUUCAUAUUUUUGGUUUUGUAUGUUGAUGCCAUAUUGCUUGCUAGUAGUGACCUUGGAUUACUACAUCGCUAAGAAUUAUCUCUCAAAAAAUUCCAACAUAAAAGAUAUGUGUGAGACAUCCUACGUCAUAGGGAUAGAAAUAUCUCGUGACCAAUCACGUGGACUUUUGGAUUAUCUCAGAAAACUAUAUAGAUCGAAUUUAGAGAGAUAUAGGAUGAAUGCAUGUUCUCCAAGUGUUGUUCUAAUUCAUAAAGGUGACAAAUUCAGUUUGAAUCAAUUAGAAUGUAACGAGAUGAAAAAUAUUUUUUAUGCAUCUAUUGUGGGAAGUUUGAUGUAUGCUCAAGUCUGUACUACCAGACAUUAGCUUUGCACUCGAAAUGCUAGGUCGUUACCAAAGUAACCCUGACAUUGAACACUGGAGAGCUGCAAAGAUGAAAUGAGAUACUUAAAGGGGACAAAAGAUUAUAUGCUCACAUUUAGGAAAUCUAAUCAAUUAGAAGUGAUUAGAUAUUCUGAUUCAGAUUAUGAUUGAUGUGUUGACUUUAGAAAAUCGAAUUUUGAUUACAUUCUUCUUAUGGCUGGAGGAGCCAUAUCAUGGAAAAGUGUAAAACAAAGUUCUAAUUCAGCAUUCACCAUUAAAGCUGAAUUUAUGGCUUGCUUUGAAGCAUUAAUGAUUGCAAAAUUUUAUUUCAGGCAUUGGUAUUGUCUCCUCAAUAUCCAUGUCCUUGAAAUUGUAUUGUGAUAAUAGUGCAAUUGUAUCUUUCUGUAAGAAUGCCAAGUAUUCAAAGGAGCUAAACACAUGGAAUUAAAGUUUCUUGUCGUGAAAGAUGAAGUUCGGGAACAAAGAAUAUCUAUAGAACAUAUAAGCACACAACUUAUGGUUGCUGAUCCAUUGACUAAGGCAUUACCGCCUAAGACAUUUAUGGAACACGUUAACAGAAUGGGUCUUGGGUAUGGAGAUGUCUAAUCUUUAUGUAUCCAUGUUGGUUCAGACACUUAAGUUAUGGAUAUUUUGAAUUCAAUAAAGUUGUUUCUAUUUUUCCUGCAUAAACUUAUUAUUGAUAUGCAUAUAUACGUUUUUAGUAUUAAUGCAGGAGGUCUUGAAAUAAGACAAUUAUGGACAUUGUGUCACUUAUAGAUUAUAUUGGUGCGGUUAUUGGUGAUGUAGUACAUGGAAGGAACUAUGUCGAUUGAAUGAUAUACGCCCGCCAUGACCCGCAUUAGUAGUCUCUCUAAUAUAAUACUUAUGUUUGCCAAUGAUGAAAGUAUUUAUAAAGUCCAAUACUAUGCGCGCCUUAUGUUUAUUAUGUCUAUUUUACUAUGGCUCUGUCAAGUGUGACAAGUGGGAGAAUCAAAAACUUUGUGUCCCACAUGUUCGCCAAGUGGGAGAAUGUAAGUUUUAUGUCUCACAUAUGUGACAUGUGAUAGAAUCCUAAAUAGAAUUGGAUUUUGAAUGUAAUACAUUAACUUGGUAUAAGACACAUUUUAUCCUAAUUAAUUGACUAUCAAUUAAUUAUUGUCAUUUAUCAAUUAAUUAAAUAAUCAUAUUAUAUUUCUCCAAUUAUAAGGAAUGAAUUGGAUUUAUAUAUAUGUGUCGAUAGAUUACAUAGUCGUUAUGGAAUGAAUAUUUCAUUCUUUGGCUAUUAAGGAAAGAAACUUUCGUACAUAUUAUUAUGAUUAUAUUAGAAUUGAUUGUGAUCAAUUAGUAGUAUCAAUUGAUGGAAGAUUAUAUUCUUGGUCAAUAAGAAACGUCUAUAUUAAUUUAAUAGCCACUUUGAUGGAAAGGGCAUUAAUGAUUGAUAAUUAGGGUUUGUCCUCUCUCUGCCUAUAAAUACAAGUGUAGUGAUCCCAUCAAAUUGCACACAUUACAGAGAACACAUAAACGAGGGAAAGAGAGAGAAACAAAUCCUUGGAGUUGCGCCACUAAGCCAAAGAAAGACCGAGGAAGUUCUCUUCGUCUUCCCCAAUCGCUUCCGCUAUGGAUCAUAAAGCCUAAGGACUCUUUCUUUCAGCCAAACAACAAACUUAGCAGCUUUCGGUUACAAGAUGUGUAUAUGUAUACACAUGCUAAACCCCCUCGGUUACACUCUAUCACACCAACGCCUUUCACUCAGUUAGAUAGCAAAUAAGAGGGCAAAGAGGAUCAGGCUGUAGCAGGGAGCUCGGUGUAAACGUGACCAGAGGCUCACGGCCAUCUUUUCCACUACACUCACGAGAGGUUGAUCGGUCGAAGCAAAGGAGGUGUUGGGACAGAAAUUUAAAUAAGUAGGAAGAUAGCUGAUAUAGUAUGUUUUCAUACAUAUUAUAUCGUUUUGGUACUCUUCCGCUGCGAGAAUCUAGAAUUUUCUUUAGAACAGACUAUGCCCCAGAAAUUACUCUGAUUUGAUAUGGUUGUACUCUCUCUCGCAUUUAGACAGUUUCUCUUGAAUUGAUUAUCCAUUCAUGAUGAGUUGACACUAUUUAGUAAGUGUAGUCGCGAAAUAGCUACACUUUCUUUGACUAGAGAGUUGUGGUCGUGACAGAAACGGAUUUUAUGAGAUGUUGUUUUGUAUAUUAAGUGAUUAGAAAAAAUAUACUUUUAUAUUAUAAGUUGGAGAUUCAUGAA